rnacentral:rRNA from 1 species
AGCAGCCGCGGUAAUUCCAGCUCCAAUAGCGUAUAUUAAAGUUGUUGCAGUUAAAAAGCUCGUAGUUGAAUUUCGGGAUCAAUUUAUUGGUCGUGCCAACGGUACGCACUGGUACAAUUGGUUUCUCCCUUCUGACGAAGCAUGAUGUCAUUAACUUGAUGUCGUGGGGAAUCGGGACUGUUACUUUGAAAAAAUUAGAGUGUUUAAAGCAGGCUUUGACUUGAAUACAUUAGCAUGGAAUAAUGAAAUAGGACGUUUGAUCUUAUUUCGUUGGUUUCUAAGAUCGACGUAAUGAUUAAUAGGGAUAGUUGGGGGCAUUAGUAUUCAAUUGUCAGAGGUGAAAUUCUUGGAUUUAUUGAAGACUAACUACUGCGAAAGCAUUUGCCAAGGAUGUUUUCAUUAAUCAAGAACGAAAGUUAGGGGAUCGAAGACGAUCAGAUACCGUCGUAGUCUUAACCAUAAACUAUGCCGACUAGGGAUCGGAUGAUGUUAAUUUUUUAAUGACUCAUUCGGCGCCUUACG